rnacentral:rRNA from 1 species
UGCAAGUCGGGCGCGCCCUUCGGGGUGAGCGGCGGACGGGUGAGUAACGCGUGGGAAUAUGCCCUUCUCUAAGGAAUAGCCUCUGGAAACGGAGAGUAAUACCUUAUACGCCCUUUUGGGGAAAGAUUUAUCGGAGAAGGAUUAGCCCGCGUUAGAUUAGGUAGUUGGUGGGGUAAUGGCCUACCAAGCCUACGAUCUAUAGCUGGUUUGAGAGGAUGAUCAGCCACACUGGGACUGAGACACGGCCCAGACUCCUACGGGAGGCAGCAGUAGGGAAUCUUAGACAAUGGGGGCAACCCUGAUCUAGCCAUGCCGCGUGUGUGAUGAAGGCCCUAGGGUCGUAAAGCACUUUCGCCAGAGAUGAUAACGACAGUAUCUGGUAAAGAAACCCCGGCUAACUCCGUGCCAGCAGCCGCGGUAAUACGGAGGGGGUUAGCGUUGUUCGGGAUUACUGGGCGUAAAGCGCACGUAGGCGGAUUAGUAAGUUAGAGGUGAAAUCCCAGGGCUCAACCCUGGAACUGCCUUUAAUACUGCUAGUCUUGAGUUCGAGAGAGGUAAGUGGAAUUCCGAGUGUAGAGGUGAAAUUCGUAGAUAUUUCGGAGGAACACCAGUGGCGAAAGCGGCUUACUGGCUCGAUACUGACGCUGAGGUGCGAAAGUGUGGGGAGCAAACAGGAUUAGAUACCCUGGUAGUCCACACCGUAAACGAUGAAUGCCAGACGUCAGCAAGUAUACUUGUUG